CGACGAUGAUGAGGCGCUUACCCGCGCUUCAGAUCAUGACGAUGCUGUGGUAGAGAACAUGCUGGCAGGUCUGGGUACUGUAAAGAGGGAUUCAGGUCG